rnacentral:lncRNA from 1 species
CUAAAUCAUGUGACCAUCUACCUUCCUUUCCAAAGGAAUGUUCUAUUUUUAAGACUGAUUUAGGUAUGUCACUUGUAUCAUUGUUUCUUUGUAUUAGACAGUCACAAUGUAUAGAGACAUCCACACAAACAUACUACAGCUCAAUAAUAUAGAAUUACUAGUUUAAUUUCCAUAAUAUUUUUUUUAUUGUUUUGAUCAACUUUCGAUUCAGUUCUUUUAUUGAAUAUGUUCGAACACGUUGAUUGUUUCACUUUAUUUACCUAUUUUAACAUUUUUUUAUGUUCCCUUCGAGUUUCAAAUUGUAUGGAGGUCUGUCUUUUUUUGUUUUUGUUUUUGUUUUUAGUAAAUUUUUCUUUAUGAAUUUUUGUUAUAACACAAGAACAAUAUAUCGAUCGUUGAAUGUAUUUACCGUGUACAUGUUUACUAAGUAAACACAGUUGAGCAGUAUAAUAUGUUUUAAUUGCAAAAACUAUACGUCAUGCACUAUCAAUUGAUUUGUGGUUGCCUAUAUCGUCCUGCAAAUAUUUUGUACAUGUCCAACGGGAAAAAAAUUACAACAAAUACAAGUAUGUAAUUUAGAAUGUGAGACAUUCCAGUAUUUCAGUGUUAUACAUGUUUUAUACGAAAUAUGUUUCUUUAAUAUAUUUUAAAUUACAAUACUGGUUUGCUAAAAAAAAAAGCUUUUUUAAAAUCUUUUGAUAAAUAAAGUUUCAUAAAAUCGUGAUGCGAAUAUAAAAUGAAACCAGGUGCAUUGGUGUAUAUUUACACGAGGAAUCAUUUAUCUAGUACAUUCUAUUAAUAAUUCAAAUUAUCUCCCCUAGUUUACAAACAUUUAAUCAUGCGACCAUUUAUCUUUCUUUUCCAAAGAAAUAUUCUAUUUAUACAUGUAAGACGUAUUUAGAAAUGUAUCAUUGUGUCUUUGUUUUAUACAGUCACAAUUUACACAGACUCCACACAAAUACACACUUCAACUGAAAAGUCUACAAUUACUUUAAUUACUAUAUAAUGGUCUAUAAUGUUUCUUAUUUUAUUUGGGAAACAUUACAUGAUUUACUAUAUUUACAUGUACCAAUGUGGCCUAUAUUCUAACAUUUUGUUAUGUUCAUGUUUACUAAGUACACAGUUGAUCAGUACAAUAUGUAUUUAUUGCCAAAAACUAUAUACAUGCAUUAUAAAUUAAUUUUUGGUUGCCGAUAUUCUCUGGUGGCAAAUAUUUCGAGAAAAAUUAACAAUAAAUACAGAUAUAUAAUUAAGAAGGGGAGACAUUUCAAUAUUUCAGUGUGUUUAUGUAUGCAAUACUUUUUUUUUUCUAAAUUUCAAUACAGUUUUUCUUAAAAAAACAAAACAAAAAAAACCUCUAAUUUUCACAUCUGCCACAAUGACCGACUAUUAUUACGUCAAAAUUCAGGUAUGGUGGUUUAGACUUGCACGAACUGGGAAAUUAAAUACAUGCAUCAGUUGUGGAGGUCUGUAGACAAUCUGUUUCGAGGCUACAUAGCCGUAGCGUAUCCUCUUUUUUCAAAUAUACAUUCAAUUAUAGGCUGGUAAUCCUUAUUCAUCAUAUUAUAGGUCCUUCAAUUUCCUGUUUUGAUUUAAUUUAAUUGCGCUCGACUUGAACACGCUUACAAUACUAAUAUUUUUUAUUUGCAUGUUUUGGUGGGAAGUUAAUGUUACUCUAGAAUCUGUCAGUUAAAUGACCAUUUUUAGAUAACGAUUUGAAUAUUCUUUGUAAUAAAGUUUUAAUUUAAGAGCAUACAAUCUAUUUUAGGAUUAUGGCCACCAAUUGGGGUAUUUGUGGUGUUUGUGAAAACCUUCAGAUUACCAAACCUUCAGUAGUAUGGUGUUCCGAAUGUGACGAAGGACUAUGUGGAGAGUGUAAGAAACAUCAUGCAGUUUCAAAGGGAACAAAAAGCCAUGAAACCGUUUCUAUUGCCGAAUUACAAAAACUUACCCACCGAAGUCCUGCAAAUCUCUCAGACCUGCAAACUUCAUAAUGAGAAAUACGAGCUGUUCUGUACAAAACACGAUUGUCCAUGUUGUAAAAAAUGUGUGAAAUCUCACAACGAUUGUAAAGGCUUAACUGACAUUAAUGAACUCAUAAAAAACGUCAAAACUUCAAACGCAUUAAAUGAAAUCGAACAAACCGUGCAGGAAGUCGUCGAGAAUAUUAAACGACUAAGCACGAACAGGAAUGAAAAUUUAAAAUCUAUAGAAAACAAGAAAAGAGAAAUUGAAGCAGAAAUAAAACAAACCAGGAUACAAGUAAAUCACCACCUUGAUAAACUUCAGGAUGACUUAAUUAAAGAAUUACUGAGAGUUGAACAACACGAAAAAAGCAAAAUAGAAAACUUGCUGACUACUCUGAAAAAAAAGGAAAAAGAGAUGACUGAAGUACAAGAAAACUUUGUCACUAUUAAACAACAUGCGUCCGAACUUCAAACAUUUUUAACCAUGAAAGAUAUCGAAAAACAUAUUGUAGGUGACGAAAAGUGUAUUCAAUCGAUUACUACGAGUGACUCCACACAUCAAGUCAAUAUUUCAUGUCAGAUUAAUAAGUCUUUACAGCAAAUAACAGCCAACGUGCAGAAGUUUGGAGAAAUUAAUGUCAAUUCUGAUCCAUGUGAUUUUUCCGUUCAGAAAAGGAAGGACAGACAAGCCCAGAUUAUGGUAGCUCUUCCAACCAAAAAUAUCGAUAACCUGACUCUGACAUUACAGAAACGUAUCAAUACAAAGUUGUCAGGUGUCUUUGGCUGUUCACUGCUUCCUGAUUGUAGGAUGGUAUUCUCCUCUAUAAUGACGAUAAAAUAAGAGUAUUUAAGUCUGACGGAUCAAAAGAUUUCGAAAUAAAGGACAUUGGUAAAACGUUUGAUGUGGUAUUUAUUGGUGAUGAUUCUAUUGCUGUUACAUCCGGCGAGUCAAAAAAGAUUAAUAUAAUCGACUUAAAGACGCACAAACUGAAGAAAUCGAUAAAAGUUGAUUCAUACACUGGUGGAGUAACAUACAAAAAUGGACAUUUAAUAUAUUGUGCCAGAGAAAAAGGAAUACAGAUGCUCAGUUUAAAUAACGGAACCAUUACCAAUGUGAGCAGUACCAAACUCCCAGACUAUGCGUACGUAACAACAUUCGGUGACAAACUGAUCUACACAAAUAGGAACAAUCACAGUGUAACCUGCUGUGACUACCAUGGUAACAUACUGUGGACGUUCUGUGAUAAAAGUGCUUCUGCGUAUCCAGUAGGUAUAUCUGUAGACAAUGAUGGUAACGUGUAUGUAGCGGGGUAUUUUACUAACAACGUUGUCGUUAUCUCUCCUGAUGGACAGCGCUGCAGACAAAUUCUCACACGUGAAGAUGAUUUUAGCGAGCCAUGGACUCUGCAUUAUGACACAUCGACCAAUGAAUUGUUAGUUGCUAAUGAAUCCAAUGAAGCAUUUUUGUAUGAUGUUAAAUGAUUAGAAAUGAGGAGUGCUUUUUCCAGAAUUCAAUUUUUUUUUGUUGAUCUCGAUUACUAACAUCCUUUAAAAGGAAUAAUACUAAUUUUGUGUGAUCUAAUUUAGAUUUGUUUAAAGUUAUUUUUUAGUGUUACUAACUGGCUGUUUCUGUUUCUGUUUUGGCCCCAUCAUAGAUUCGAGUUUAUUUGUAUUGAACCCGAAUCCUGAAGACAGCUUAUCGAGAAUCUAGAGACAAAUAUUAGAGAAAAUAUUAACUACUUACGAUUCAUUAUAAUUUAUAGGUACACGUUUAGGUGAACUACGUUGGUAUAAAUAAACUACGAAAUAACAUUUUCAAUAAGGUUUAUAUUUGUAAGGAUUAAACUAAAAUUUGAAGAAAACGCGAAAUAGAAUUGAGAUGCGGGAUAUACGUUAAUGAGACAAGAACCCAACGUCGACAAGAUACACUAUAAAUACACCACCAGACAUUCAACAUGAAUAAAACAAAAUGGUGGGUCUAUGUAAGUGAGACAACAAUCCGUGGCAUGAUUGUCAAUCAGAAGAUGUGGUAUGAUUGUCACGAAGGAGA